UGUGUUGGCAAAAGAAAGAAACAAUCUUGAUAUUGCUCUCUUCAACAAUGAAUGCCUUCGGAAGGAUAUUGACAAGAUCAAAGAAGAACUGAAAACGACCAAGGCCACUCAUCGGGUCAUCACUGAUACAAAUGUCGAUCUGUCAAGCUAAAGGAUCAAAGCAUCUGGCACAUCGCCAGAAGCACGAAGAAGAGCUCAAAGAGCUUCGGGCCCUUAAGAAUUUGAGUCCGCCACUGACCGAAGACCUUCAUAAGAAAUCCAAGUAGCAUACAGAAAAUCCACCGAGCUGG
rnacentral:lncRNA from 1 species